GCCUCAGUAACGGCGAGUGAAGCGGCAACAGCUCAAAUUUGAAAUCUGGCUCCCUUCGGGGGCCCGAGUUGUAAUUUGGAGAGGAUGCUUUGGGCGCGGCGCCUUCCGAGUUCCUUGGAACAGGACGCCAGAGAGGGUGAGAGCCCCGUACGGUUGGACGCCUAGCCCGUGUAAAGCUCCUUCGACGAGUCGAGUAGUUUGGGAAUGCUGCUCAAAAUGGGAGGUAAAUUUCUUCUAAAGCUAAAUACUGGCCAGAGACCGAUAGCGCACAAGUAGAGUGAUCGAAAGAUGAAAAGCACUUUGAAAAGAGGGUUAAACAGCACGUGAAAUUGUUGAAAGGGAAGCGCCUGUGGCCAGACUUGCUGCCCGCGGUUCACCUGGCGCCUCCGCGCCAGGGCACGCCGCGGGUGCGCAGGCCAGCAUCGGCUUUCCCAGGGGGACAAAGGCCGCGGGAACGUAGCUCCUCCGGGAGUGUUAUAGCCCGCGGUGCCAUGCCUCUGGGGGGGCCGAGGAACGCGCCCUUCGGGGCAAGGAUGCUGGCGUAAUGGCCACCAG
rnacentral:rRNA from 1 species